rnacentral:tRNA from 1 species
AAUAAGAUGGCUGAGGUGUAGGCGGUAGAUUGUAAAUCUAUUAACAAGGCAAAAAUCCUUUCUUAUUA